rnacentral:sRNA from 1 species
GAAAAAGAAGAAAAAUUCCAUUAACUCCAGCAUUGUUCUUUUAAAAAGGCAACAAGAAAUGGGAACUACAUGAAAUACCCAAAAGCGAACACUUGUUCUUUUCGUGUUUAUUAUUUGCAUUAGUUCGCUAUCCUGAAACAAAACAAUUAAUUGCCGUUGAAAGCAUGGACUUAACUUUAUAAAUAACUAGGUGGCUGCCACAUAAAUUUAACAGAAAGUUGACCUCUCACCUCAGCGCCGCAAUGUAUUCAACAAGUAUUUGCAUUCGCACGCCGCCGCUUGAAGCUUGUGAUGCGAUCCCAUAAAUUAAACUGGCUAAAACCGGAGAAAAGGAAGGCAAACGUCACCGAAACAGGAGGAAAAAAAGGAGGGGAUGGCCAGAGCAAACUCAGUCCGCAGAAGCCGCAAACAUGCAAACCAAAAAAAGGGGCCACAUGGGCGUAGUGAGGGGGAUUCAUUCCGGAUGCCAGGGGGAGAACGAAUGCAGCUCCAACUAAGCACGUGUCAAGAGUGCGGCCCAAGUUUUAAUUUGCCGGAGGCGUCCACUAACAACGCAUGGCCCGCAUCACCACUGGAAGAACUGAAAUGGAUCUUGUUGUUUUAUAUUUUUUAUCCGAAACCAUACACCUUACACAUUACAUAUUUAAAAAUUGAAGAAAUUACUUGAGCUUUUGUUGUUCACAAUCCAAAUCUUUAUAGUUCACAUGUUGUUACGAAUACAUUGCACCAAAUUUUUUUUUUAAGAGUAUAAUUUGUUAAGCUAUACAUUGUUAAAUUAAA